rnacentral:rRNA from 1 species
GACGAACGCUGGCGGCGUGCCUAAUACAUGCAAGUCGAACGAGAGCGACCGGUGUUUGCACUGGUCAAUCUAGUGGCGAACGGGUGAGUAACACGUGGGUAACCUGCUCAUCAGAGGGGGAUAACAUCCGGAAACGGAUGCUAAAACCGCAUAGGUCUUCGAGCCGCAUGGCUUGAAGAGGAAAAGAGGCGCAAGCUUCUGCUGAUGGAUGGACCCGCGGUGCAUUAGCUAGUUGGUGAGGUAACGGCCCACCAAGGCCGUGAUGCAUAGCCGACCUGAGAGGGUGAUCGGCCACAUUAAGACUGAGACACGGCCCAAACUCCUACGGGAGGCAGCAGUAGGGAAUCUUCCGCAAUAGGCGCGAGUCUGACAGAGCAACGCCGCGUGAGUGAAGAAGGUUUUCGGAUCGUAAGACUCUGUUGUUAACGAAGAACAAGUGCUAGAGUAACUGUUAGCGCCUUGACGGUAUCUAACCAGAAAGCCACGGCUAACUACGUG